ensembl:lncRNA
CACCGCCCCCUCCUCCACCAAAUGAGCAACUGGCAGUGAACAACCGUGAGAGGUCCUGCUCAGCCAUUGGCCAGUGCCACAGUAGCCACCGCCCCCUCCUCCACCAAAUGAGCAACUGGCAGUGAACAACCGUGAGAGGUCCUGCUCAGCCAUUGGUCAGUGCCACAGUAGCCACCGCCCCCUCCUCCACCAAAUGAGCAACUGGCAGUGAACAACCGUGAGAGGUCCUGCUCAGCCAUUGGCCAGUGCUGCCGUGGGCCCCUCCCCCAGCAAGCCACUGUCAAGGGGAGACUGUUACUGGGCACAUUCAACCAGCAGUCGGGGAGUGGUGGUCCUCAGGUGGAGAGUGAGCCAGGACCUGGACCUCAGAGUGGGAAGCUCAUGCCUGGGGACCUUGCCCUUUCUUGUCAGAGCAGAGAAGAACAAUGGAUUGGUGGAGAUUCAUGGGAACAUUGUUUACCUGACCGUGACCUGACUCCAGAAUAAAGGAUCUGACACCAAGAAGUGUGCAACGACUAACCACACCCCUCCCUCACCUUUCCUAGAAAAGGGCUUUGCUGAAGGCUUUUGGGGAGAUGUUUUUGUUUUUAACAGCUGAUUAUCAACUUAUUAGGUUGAUUUAAGCAUCUGCAAUGAAGACUUCAACCUUGACUCCUGGCUCAGUGCUGAUGGAAAUGAUUUGCUUAAUGAUCUCAGAGGGACUGUGCAGGUCAAUGAGUUGCUUUAGGAUCCUUGUCUCGAAAUGAUAUCAAGUCUUAGAUCCUUUAUCACAAGGAGUUUUCCUUGCAGUUAUUCUCAGAGUCUUGGUAGGCAUCCAAACCGGUCCUUUUACUAUGAGACUCUUUUCCUUGGCAACCCUGAUCAGGUCAGCACAUGCCUUCUCCAAAAACUUGAGGUUGUAGCUGGUGAGAGUGAUUCUAAUCUGGUGAAUUGCCAUCUCUGGCUUCACAGGAGUCUUGCCUGUAUCUUUACAAGCCAUGAUUGUGGGGCGUCUUCCAACCAUCUGGUUCCUCAGUGAGAAUGAACAGCGGUGAGUCAGGAGCAGGCGUGGCCUCCACUGCAGUUUUCCUCAAAGGGGUGGGGGAGGUUGGGGUUUUUUUAAGGACUGAGGCACCCAUCUCUACACAUAGCCCCAUAAUAAAGCUUUCUCUGUUCCAAACUCCGAUGAUUUGGCCUCAAUCAUUGUUUGGCCUGAUUGUUUAGCUUCACUGUACAUUGGGCACACAGACUUGCAAGAAUCUGAUAAAGUGAGGGUAGAAACUGUGUGAUUAUCUGAGGAAGGAGGGUUCCUGGCAGAGGGAACAGCAAGUGAAAGGCCCUGAGGCAGACAUGUGUUUGACCUUUUUGCUCUUCCUUUAGCUGUUUUGGGAGCACAGCAAGAGAGGAGGGGUGACCACAAAAGGAAGUCAACAGUGUCAGAUGCUAAAGAACCAAGCCUUGAAGGGCUUUAGGUUUUAUUCCUUGUGAUGACAGCCAUCAAAACAUGUUAAGCAGAAGAAUGAUACAAUCUGAUUACUUUUUAAAGGCUUAUUCUGGCUGCUGUGUGAAGAUUGGGGUGACUCAAGAAUGGAAAGAUAUUAAUAUAUAGUAGGAGGCUGUUGCAAUAAUUCAGUAGAGAAGUCCUCAUGGCAAGGACCAAGUUGGCAGCAAGAAAGAGGAUAAGGAUGAGUAAAUCUUCAAUCUAUUUCAUGGUUAGACUCUACAUGGUUUGCUGGUAGGUUGAAUGUGAUUUGUUUAAGAGUCAAGAAUGAUUUCCAGGUCUGGAGCCUGAAAAACUACGUGAAUCAUGAUGUAGUUUAUUGAGAUGGAGAGCACUAAGAAAGAACAACUUUGGUAAAGAAAACUAAGAGUUCUGUUCUGGGUAUGUUGAUUUGGAG